CCCCUUCCCAACGCCGCAGGAAUCCCUAUAUGGGGUCGUGCCGGGUUUGACCCGGCUAUGGCGAUAAACUGCGGCGUGCAAUAGACGCAGCGGACCCGGGGGCGGUACCCGGCGGCUCCACCACCUCUCUCGUUCCGGCUUUUUGGGCCAGGCGGGAAAGAUGACGGGGCCGAACUAGGAUCGACGUGUGUUGAAAAGCGUUGUUUUCGCCCGGGCUGAGUAACCCGUUCAAGGCUCAAAACCAACAAGUGCCAACGACAACGAAGCACUUGCUCUCGCCGCGUAACCUGACGGCCUAACGGCCUGAUCUUACAAAGCGAAAGCGCGGCUGGACACGCCGGUCAACAGAAGUGAUACCAGCGGCCCGGGGGGUGCCGGGCAACAGAAAUCCCCCCACC
rnacentral:tmRNA from 3 species